CGGGGUGAGUAACGCGUAGGUAACCUGCCCCCAUACAGAGGGAUAGCCACUGGAAACGGUGAUUAAUACCUCAUAAAACUGAGAAUACACAUGUAUGCUCAGCCAAAGAUUUAUCGGUAUGGGAUGGACCUGCGUCUGAUUAGUUAGUUGGUGAGGUAACGGCUCACCAAGGCGACGAUCAGUAGCCGACCUGAGAGGGUGAUCGGCCACAUUGGAACUGAGACACGGUCCAAACUCCUACGGAAGGCAGCAG
rnacentral:rRNA from 1 species